rnacentral:rRNA from 1 species
UUGGACAAUGGGCGAGAGCCUGAUCCAGCCAUGCCGCGUGCAGGAAGACGGCCCUUUGGGUUGUAAAUUGCUUUUAUAGAGGAAGAAACACUCAUACGUGUGGGAGCUUGACGGUACUUUACGAAUAAGGAUCGGCUAACUCUGUG